rnacentral:rRNA from 1 species
GACGUAGGGCGCGAGCGUUGUCCGGAUUUAUUGGGCGUAAAGAGCUCGUAGGCGGCUUGUCACGUCGGAUGUGAAAGCCCGGGGCUUAACUCCGGGUCUGCAUUCGAUACGGGCUGGCUAGAGUGUGGUAGGGGAGAUCGGAAUUCCUGGUGUAGCGGUGAAAUGCGCAGAUAUCAGGAGGAACACCGGUGGCGAAGGCGGAUCUCUGGGCCAUUACUGACGCUGAGGAGCGAAAGCGUGGGGAGCGAACAAG